rnacentral:rRNA from 1 species
UGGCGGACGGGUGAGUAACGCGUAAGAACUUGCCCUUUAGACUGGGAUAACAGAGGGAAACUUCUGAUAAUACUGGAUAAGUUAGUAUAUCGCAUGAUAUGCAAAUGAAAGCUACGGCACUAAAGGAGAGCUUUGCGUCCUAUUAGCUAGUUGGUAAGGUAAGAGCUUACCAAGGCGAUGAUAGGUAGCCGGCCUGAGAGGGUGGACGGCCACAAGGGGACUGAGAUACGGCCCUUACUCCUACGGGAGGCAGCAGAG